rnacentral:rRNA from 1 species
UACGUAGGGAGCAAGCGUUGUCCGGAAUCAUUGGGCGUAAAGCGCGCGUAGGUGGCUUCGUAAGUCCGUUGUGAAAGUCAAAGGCUCAACCUUUGAAAGCCGAUGGAUACUGUGAAGCUAGAGUACGGAAGAGGCGAGUGGAAUUCCUGGUGUAGCGGUGGAAUGCGCAGAUAUCAGGAGGAACACCCAGAGCGAAGGCAGCUCGCUGGGACGGUACUGACGCUAAGGCGCGAAAGCGUGGGGAGCAAACAGG